rnacentral:tRNA from 1 species
GUUAUAUAGUUUAAUUAAUAAAAACAUUAAUUUUGUAAAUUAAAAAUUUAAUAAAUUUAAUAUAACA